AUUGAACGCUGGCGGCAGGCCUAACACAUGCAAGUCGAACGGUAACAGGAAGCAGCUUGCUGCUUCGCUGACGAGUGGCGGACGGGUGAGUAAUGUCUGGGAAGCUGCCUGAUGGAGGGGGAUAACUACUGGAAACGGUAGCUAAUACCGCAUAAUGUCGCAAGACCAAAGAGGGGGACCUUCGGGCCUCUUGCCAUCGGAUGUGCCCAGAUGGGAUUAGCUUGUUGGUGGGGUAACGGCUCACCAAGGCGACGAUCCCUAGCUGGUCUGAGAGGAUGACCAGCCACACUGGAACUGAGACACGGUCCAGACUCCUACGGGAGGCAGCAGUGGGGAAUAUUGCACAAUGGGCGCAAGCCUGAUGCAGCCAUGCCGCGUGUAUGAAGAAGGCCUUCGGGUUGUAAAGUACUUUCAGCGGGGAGGAAGGGAGUAAAGUUAAUACCUUUGCUCAUUGACGUUACCCGCAGAAGAAGCACCGGCUAACUCCGUGCCAGCAGCCGCGGUAAUACGGAGGGUGCAAGCGUUAAUCGGAAUUACUGGGCGUAAAGCGCACGCAGGCGGUUUGUUAAGUCAGAUGUGAAAUCCCCGGGCUCAACCUGGGAACUGCAUCUGAUACUGGCAAGCUUGAGUCUCGUAGAGGGGGGUAGAAUUCCAGGUGUAGCGGUGAAAUGCGUAGAGAUCUGGAGGAAUACCGGUGGCGAAGGCGGCCCCCUGGACGAAGACUGACGCUCAGGUGCGAAAGCGUGGGGAGCAAACAGGAUUAGAUACCCUGGUAGUCCACGCCGUAAACGAUGUCGACUUGGAGGUUGUGCCCUUGAGGCGUGGCUUCCGGAGCUAACGCGUUAAGUCGACCGCCUGGGGAGUACGGCCGCAAGGUUAAAACUCAAAUGAAUUGACGGGGGCCCGCACAAGCGGUGGAGCAUGUGGUUUAAUUCGAUGCAACGCGAAGAACCUUACCUGGUCUUGACAUCCACGGAAGUUUUCAGAGAUGAGAAUGUGCCUUCGGGAACCGUGAGACAGGUGCUGCAUGGCUGUCGUCAGCUCGUGUUGUGAAAUGUUGGGUUAAGUCCCGCAACGAGCGCAACCCUUAUCCUUUGUUGCCAGCGGUCCGGCCGGGAACUCAAAGGAGACUGCCAGUGAUAAACUGGAGGAAGGUGGGGAUGACGUCAAGUCAUCAUGGCCCUUACGACCAGGGCUACACACGUGCUACAAUGGCGCAUACAAAGAGAAGCGACCUCGCGAGAGCAAGCGGACCUCAUAAAGUGCGUCGUAGUCCGGAUUGGAGUCUGCAACUCGACUCCAUGAAGUCGGAAUCGCUAGUAAUCGUGGAUCAGAAUGCCACGGUGAAUACGUUCCCGGGCCUUGUACACACCGCCCGUCACACCAUGGGAGUGGGUUGCAAAAGAAGUAGGUAGCUUAACCUUCGGGAGGACGCUUACCACUUUGUGAUUCAUGACUGGGGUGAAG
rnacentral:rRNA from 1 species